GGAGUGUUUACCCGAGGGUUCGUGGAAGAAAUCUACGUGCCAUCAUGAGGAAAGAGGGAACGACCUACGGCAUGGGAUACCGAAGAGUGAAAACUGUAGUUCUGUUUUGUUCUUCAAAUAGAUCUUUUUAUUGGGACCACUUUAUGUUGUAUAGUGAAAUCAUGUUAUAUACUAUAAUCAUGUUGUCUUGAGAAGAAUCAAGCAAGAAUUAACUUGUCCAGUGACUAUGUUUAACAAUGGUGGGGACUGGAGGAAUAAUUAGUAUAUUUAAUGUUCAUCGUUUUACAACCUAUCAAAGACCGAAUGGAUAACAAAUUUUUUUGUGUGGCAAUAUGACCAUCAUGAUUUUCACUUUGACAAAGUAUAUCCAAGUGAUAUCAUCAACAUUGUGUAUCCAUGUAAACUAUAUAUGUUCUCAAAAAGUACUUUUUUUCCAGACGUGCAUUGCACGUGCAACCUUACUAGUAGUAUAAAACCAUCACAUUCUCGUCUAGUCUAGGAUUCCAAAAAACACCACAGGAAAACUUUUAGAAUAUUGUGACUAAUUUUCAGGAGUGGCUAGUGUUUAGCCAAUUAAAUCUCAGCCGACUAAGGCCCGAUACAAUGUAAGGUGUUUAUGGGAGGUGCUCAGAAGUUUAGAGAAAUAAACCGAUGUCUUCUUAGUCACCAUAUUUGGAAAUAAACCAAUAUUUUUGGAAAACAUGAACAUUCUCAGAAAAUGGGAAUAUUUUCUUAAUUUGUGAACAAAUUUUGAAAACAGGGAUUUUUUUUUAAAUUCUAAAAAACACAAACAUUUUUAUGCUCCUGAUAUUUUAUGAAUUUGUAAUUUUUUGUAAAUAGUAGUAUUUUUAAAAUUCCAAAAAAUGUAUAAAAUUGAGAUUUUAGAAAAUUUAACAUUUUUACAUUUGUGAAAUUUAAUAAAAAUAGGAAAAAUUUCUUAAACUUUGAAUAGUAUUUGGAAAUACAAGAAAUUAUUUGGAAAUCCCAAACAAUUUUAAAAAAGUCAAAGUUUUUUUGAAAUUCCCUAACUUUUUCAAUUUGUGAAUAAAAUUUGAAAACAGCAAUAUUUUUUUAAAAAUAACAAUAUUUUAAAGACAAACAUGUUUAAAAAUCCCAAAGAAUAUUUAGAAUGCAUUUUUUUAAUUCCAUUUAAAAAAUAAUAGGGGCAUUUGAAAAAUUAAAUAAUAAGAAAACCAUGAAAAAACAAAAAGUAAAACAGAUAAAAAAACCAGACAAAAAUCUCUAGAACGUUACAAAAAUCUCUAGAACAUGAUCCCAGCUGGCUCCUGUGCGAAGUCCCACCAAUUUGACGCGCAAAUAGGGAUUGCCAUUUUGUGAUUUUGUCCCUGCUCGAUUUACAACGACGAGUACACUGUGAAUGUGGUAACACGUGUCUAUUUAUAUCAUAAGGAUUAUAGUAUAAGUCGCAUACACAUUGACUUGACAAAACCGAAAAGACGGCAGAACGUUAGCCUUUGCACAAAUAAAUACCAGCCAAAAAAGAAAAAGAAAAUACGUGAACCAAAAUAAAUACGCGAACCAACCUCUGGUUGGAUGAUUAGAGGGGCAAAGGUAUCCCCGGUCCAGCACGGUUCAAGUCCUGGUGCUCUCUUAGUCAGAGGAGGCGUUCCCGUCGAAGAUGAGGCGCCUACGAUGACUUCAUAAAUCUCAAGAUGAUAUGUCGGCUCAGUCUCUCGACGGUGCUCACAGGGGUAGGGUGUGUGUGUGUUCAUAUGGCUGUGUGUAUACGCAUAUGUAUGAGCGCUUGUACUGUGUUAAAAAAUACAAUCAAAACCGAAAAAUCCUCUGAAUUUAACACUAACGCCCGUCACCUGCCUUUAACGCCACUAUAGUAGCCACCAAAGGAAUAAAUGACGGAUCACCUCCUCACCCGAACUCGGCGCGGCUCUAUCACUGAUAUGCAGCUUUGCGGACCUUCAAGGUGGUUCACCAUAACGUUGAACGAAUUAGACCGGGGCAAAACCCCCGACACGUCAUCGAACUCCAGAUCUGGCACCCCCACACGACCAAGAUGUCGGAGGAAAAAAUCAUACCUGCCAUCCACGAACGACGAACCCAUCACACGAUCCACCAUCUUCCAAAUGUCGUCGAUGCAUACCACAAUCUAAAUCCACUCCUGGAUGACCUUACAAGCUCCGCCUAGGCGUUGUAGGACUGUGGUUGUGAUGCGGAGCAUCCUUCCAUCAUCCCCAUGGACUCUACACCGACACAUCCAACCCCACGAGGACCCAUGACAAGAGCUAGAGGACGUGCUUUGGAAACCGAGGUGAACUCCUUCCUACUAGACUUGCAUAUGGACACGAAUGGAACAUGGUUACUACCUCACCAAAAUAUGCUAUGCCUCCUUAGGUAUGAAGAGGAACAUCACCAAGAAGCUUAGGAGCAUCACCAAGGAGAAGGAGGACCACCCCAAGGCCUUGCGAGCCAAGACGGAGUGCAAUAGCAGCAAUGCAGAAGGUCCCAGGUGACCCCGUGCGCACGGGCCCCCGAGACCCCGUGCCCAUGGGCUACAUAGGAAGCUGGCGCUGGAGCACCCCGUGCGCUCGGGCCUGUACCGUGCCCAUGGGACCCCCGUGCGCACGGGCCCAACUUACCCGUGCGCACGGGCCUCCCAGGAUGGCCAGCUGAGAUUGCAUCUUCAGCCCCUCUUCAUCUCCUUCGACCCCAAGGCUAUAUAUUCCGUACCUAGGACCAUGUUUAGGGUUAGCAAAGUACUAGAUGAGAUAUUUGUGAGCUUUGCUCCUUCACCUUCCCUCUUGGUGGAUCAAGACCCCCUAGGGAAGAAUCCUUGUGGAUUUCAAGACCUCCAUAAGAAGAAGACUAUCUUCAAGCCCCCAUCUCCUUUGGAUUUGGGAUGAAAUUUGCCAUUGUAUCUUUCCUUUGAUUGUGUUUGUGACUUGUGGAUCUUGUGUUGUUAUUCUAGUGGAUGUGUAAUCGGGAAUUGUUGGAGUGAUUUCCUCUUUGUGUUCUUGUUGUUGCUCUCCUUUCCCCCCUCCAAGUGUGAAAAGAUCCCUCUUAGGAUUCUACCCUACAUCAUCUUGGUAUCAUGAGCCACAUUGAUUCACAUCUUGGAGUCCUUACCUUCCACUUUCUAGCUUGAUUUUGUUGUUUUUCGUCCUAAUCCGAAAAUCCCCACCAAAAAUAGCCCCAAAAUUUUUCUUGCAAUUUGUUUGAUCUUGUGAGAUUUGGUUGUUUUGAUCCACGAAUUUGGUGUUUGGCAAGUGGAUCUACCCCUCCAUCUUCGUCCCCACCCUUCCACCGUUCGAAUUUGGCCAAAAACUUGGGAAUUACCACGGGAUCGGAGCAGUUCGUCCGCUCACAGAGGACCCCGUGCUCAUGGGCCAUCGGGACCCCGUGCACAUGGGUCUCACUUACCCCGUGCGCACGGACUAUCCAGGGAGUUUCGGCCAUUUUCUGUUUUUCUUCAUUUCGUUUCCCCACCACCUCUUGUGUUCUUCCGCACCAUUCCACGUGUUUGUUUGAGUUUUGGGUCGCGGUUUCUCUCGUGUCCUAAGGUGUUUCGGCUACUUAGGCGCGAGUUGGUAUCAUCAUCAUCUCCACUAACCAUCGACUCGGACAACACAUCGGCUUCGACAACAUCAUCUUCAUCUACCGUAAGCAAGGACGGUAACCUCGACGAUGCUUUUGUGCCCCCUUGCCAUUAACUUGAUAGCUUCAAGCCCUUUUGCGUAGCUUACCCAUCGAGACUUGCUUGUUGAGUAUUGCUGGGCCACGCCUUAGUGCACCAUUUAGUGUUCCGUCCCUUCCGUGCAUUUACUACUUGUUACCUCAUUGUGUGGCUCGUGUAUCAAGCUUCGUGGCAUAGUAAAAAAAGAGAGAGAGAGAAAGCUUUUAAGCAAAAGAGAAGAGAAGCAAAGAGCUUAUAAGCAAUAGCAUCGAGCCUCCUCACAUACGUGCAUCAUCUUGGUCAUCAUACAUAAGCAUACUUGGGAUAGUGAGACGAUCGGUUUCUCUUUUAGGUUGGUGCGCUAGCGUAUCUAGCCCAUUAGUGCAAUCGAGCUAGCGUCUCUCUAGUAUCCGUACGACAAGAGCUUUUCCCAUGGUUCGACAUCUUCGAGCUCACCCCUUGGUUGUGCGGAUCCCAUUUAUCUUUCGUGUGUGUGUUCCUCGUGUUAUCUUUGGAGGUUGAUCUAUUUGUCUUACUUGACAUUUGUGAAUCUUCUCAACUUUAUCAACAUCUUGACUAACAUUUGCUUGAACUAUUUGUGCCUUUCCUAACCAAGCUCCUCCAUAGACCAUUUACUUGUAGGUGUGAGAAACAAUUCCCGGUACCAAUUCCCCUAUUAUAACAUCACGUGGGGUCGUACUUGUUACAUCCACAAUCUUCGGCAAAGGUAACUUUGGUUUUGUUCUCUCAUUUACCUACUCACCGCCACUUUGAUAUGAUGGAUAGGCCAAGUUCUUCUACCAACCCACUCUUCAUCGAGCAAGACGACGACAUGUCAUCAUUCGUCACCAAGAGCCACCUCUUUAGUGCACAAAGUGAUGGGGAACGUUGCAGAAAAUAAAAAUUUUCUACGCUUCACCAAGAUCAAUCUAUGGAGUUGUCUAGCAACGAGAGAGAGGAGUGCAUCUACAUACCCUUGUAGAUCGCGUGCGGAAGCGUUCAAGAGAACGGGGUUGAGGGAGUCGUACUCGUCGUGAUCCAAAUCAUCGGAGAUCCUAGCGCCGAACGGACGACACCUCCACGUUCAACACACGUACGGUUGGGAAGACGUCUCCUCCUUGUUGAUCCAGCAAGGGGGAAGGAAAGGUUGAUGAAGAUCCAGUAGCAUGACGGCGUGGUGGUGGAUGCAGCAGCGAUCACGGCAGGGCUUCGCCAAGCUUCUGCGAGAGGGAGAGGUGGUGCGUGGGGAGAGGGAGGCGCCAGAGACUUGGGUGCAGCUGCCCUCCCUCCCCCCUCUUUAUAUAGGCCCCCUGGGGGGGCGCCGACCCUAGGAGAUGGGAUCUCCAAGGGGGGGCGGCGGCCAAGGGGGUGGCUUGCCCCCCAAGGCAAGUGGAGGCGCCCCCUACCCCUAGGGUUUCCAGCCCUAGGCGCAGGGGGCCCAAGGGGGGGCGCACGAGCCCACCAGGGGCUGGUUCUCCUCCCACUUCAGCCCAUGGGGCCCUCCGGGAUAGGUGGCCCCACCCGGUGGACCCCCGGGACCCUUCCGGUGAUCCCGGUACAAUACCGGUGUCCCCCGAAACUUUCCCGAUGGCCGAAACUGCACUUCCUAUAUAUAAUUCUUCACCUCCGGACCAUUACGGAACUCCUCGUGACGUCUGGGAUCUCAUCCGGGACUCCGAAAAACUUUCAGGUUACUGCAUACUUAUAUCUCUAUAACCCUAGCGUCACCGAACCUUAAGUGUGUAGACCCUACGGGUUCGGGAGACAUGCAGACAUGACCGAGACGCCUCUCCGGUCAAUAACCAACAGCGGGAUCUAGAUACCCAUGUUGGAUCCCACAUGCUCCUCGAUGAUCUCAUCGGAUGAACCACGAUGUCGAGGAUUCAAUCAAUCCCGUAUUCAAUUCCCUUUGUCAAUCGGUACGUUACUUGCCCGAGAUUCGAUCAUCGGUAUCCCAAUACCUCGUUUAAUCUCGUUACCGGCAAGUCACUUUACUCGUGCCGUAAUGCAUGAUCCCGUGACCAGACACUUGGUCACAUUGAGCUCAUUAUGAUGAUGCAUUACCAAGUGGGCCCAGAGAUACCUCUCCGUCAUACGGAGUGACAAAUCCCAGUCUUGAUUCGUGCCAACCCAACAGACACUUUUGGAGAUACCCGUAGUGCACCUUUACAGUCACCCAGUUACGUUGUGACGUUUGGUACACCCAAAGCACUCCUACGGUAUCCGGGAGUUGCACAAUCUCAUGGUCUAAGGAAAUGAUACUUGACAUUUGGAAAAGCUCUAGCGAAACGAACUACACAAUCUUUGUGCUAUGCUUAGGAUUGGGUCUUGUCCAUCACAUCAUUCUCCUAAUGAUGUAAUCCCGUUAUCAAUGACAUCCAAUGUCCAUAGUCAGGAAACCAUGACUAUCUGUUGAUCAACGAGCUAGUCAACUAGAGGCUCACUAGGGACUUGUUAUGGUCUAUGUAUUCACACAUGUAUUACGAUUUCCGGAUAACACAAUUAUAGCAUGAAUAAUAGACAAUUAUCAUAAACAAGGAAAUAUAAUAAUAACCAUUUUAUUAUUGCCUCUAGGGCAUAUUUCCAACAGUCUCCCACUUGCACUAGAGUCAAUAAUCUAGUUACAUUGUGAUGAAUCGAACACCCAUUGCGUCCUGGUGUUGAUCAUGUUUUGCUCUAGGGAGAGGUUCAGUCAACGGAUCUGCUACAUUCAGGUCCGUAUGUACUUUACAAAUAUCUAUGUCUCCAUCUUGAACAUUUUCACGAAUGGAGUUGAAGCGACGCUUGAUGUGCCUGGUCUUCUUGUGAAACUUGGGCUCCUUGGCAAGUGCAAUAGCUCCAGUGUUAUCACAAAAGAUUGUGAUCGGCCCCGACGCAUUGGGUACGACUCCUAGGUCGGUGAUGAACUCCUUCACCCAGAUAGCUUCAUGCGCUGCCUUCGAGGCUGCCAUGUACUCCGCUUCACAUGUAGAUCCCGCCACGACGCUCUGCUUGCAACUGCACCAGCUUACUGCCCCACCAUUCAAAAUAUACACGUAUCCGGUUUGUGACUUCGAGUCAUCCAGAUCUGUGUCGAAGCUAGCGUCAACGUAACCCUUUACGACGAGCUCUUCGUCACCUCCAUAUACGAGAAACAUAUCCUUAGUCCUUUUCAGGUACUUUAGGAUGUUCUUGACCGCUGUCCACUGUUCCAUGCCGGAUUACUUUGGUACCUUCCUACCAAACUUACGGCAAGGUUUAUAUCAGGUCUGGUACAGGUCAUGGCAUACAUGAUAGACCCUAUGGCUGAGGCAUAGGGGACGACACUCAUCUUUUCUCUAUCUUCUGCCGUGGUCGGACAUUGAGCCGAGCUCAAUUUCACACCUUGCAACACAGGCAAGAACCCCUUCUUGGACUGAUCCAUAUUGAACUUCUUCAAUAUCUUAUCAAGGUAUGUAUUCUGUGAAAGACCUAUGAGGCGUCUCAAUCUAUCUCUAUAGAUCUUGAUGCCUAAUAUGUAAGCAGCUUCUCCAAGGUCCUUCAUUGAAAAACACUUAUUCAAGUAGGCCUUAAUGCUGUCCAAAAGUUCUAUAUCAUUUCCCAUCAAAAGUAUGUCAUCCACAUAUAAUAUGAGAAAUGCUACAGAGCUCCCACUCACUUUCUUGUAAACGCAGGCUUCUUCAUAAGUCUGCAUAAACCCAAACACUUUGAUCAUUUCAUUAAAGCGAAUGUUCCAAAUCCGAGAUGCUUGCACCAGCCCAUAGAUGGAGCGUUGGAGCUUGCAUACCUUGUUAGCAUUAUUAGGGUCGACAAAACCUUCCGGCUGCAUCAUAUACAGUUCUUCCUUAAGAUGACUGUUAAGGAAUGUCAUUUUGACGUCCAUUUGCCAUAUCUCAUAAUCAUAGUAUGCGGCAAUUGCUAACAUGAUUCGGACGGACUUCAGCUUUGCUACGGGAGAGAAUGUCUCAUCGUAGUCAAUCCCUUGAACUUGUCGAUAACCCUUAGCGACAAGUCGAGCUUUAUAGAUGGUAACAUUACCAUCAGCGUCCGUCUUCUUCUUAAAGAUCCAUUUGUUUUCUAUUGCCCGCCGAUCAUCGGGCAAGUCUGUCAAAGUCCAUACUUUGUUUUCAUACAUGGAUCCUAUCUCGGAUUGCAUGGCUUCAAGCCAUUUGUUGGAAUCUGGGCCCGCCAUUGCUUCUUCAUAGUUCGAAGUUUCACCGUUGUCUAACAACAUGAUUUCCAGGACAGGGUUGCCAUACCACUCUGGUGUGGAACGUGUCCUCGUGGACCUACGAAGUUCAGUAGUAACUUGAUCCGAAGUACCUUGAUCAUCAUCUUUAGUUUCCUCUCUAGUUGGUGCAGGCACCACAGGAACAUCUUCCUGAGCUGCGCUACUUACCGGUUCAAGAGGUAGUACUUCAUCAAGUUCCACUUUCCUCCCACUUACUUCUUUUAAGAGAAACUCUUUCUCCAGAAAGGACCCGUUCUUGGCAACAAAGAUCUUUCCCUCGGAUCUUAAGUAGAAGGUAUACCCAAUGGUUUCCUUAGGGUAUCCUAUGAAGACGCAUUUUUCUGACUUGGGUUCGAGCUUUUCAGGUUGAAGUUUCUUGACAUAAGCAUCGCAUCCCCAAACUUUUAGAAACGACAGCUUAGGUUUCUUCCCAAACCAUAAUUCAUACGGUGUCGUCUCAACGGAUUUAGACGGUGCCCUAUUUAAAGUGAAUGUAGCUGUCUCUAGAGCGUAUCCCCAAAAUGAUGGCGGUAAAUCGGUAAGUGACAUCAUAGAUCACACCAUAUCCAAUAGAGUGCGAUUACGACAUUCGGACACACCAUUACGCUGAGGUGUUCCCAGCGGCGUAAGUUGUGAAACGAUUCCACAUUUCCUUAAGUGCGUACCAAAUUCAUGACUUAAAUAUUCUCCCCCACAAUCUGAUCUUAAGAACUUUAUCUUUUGGUCACGUUGAUUCUCUACCUCAUUCUGAAAUUCCUUGAACUUUUCAAAGGUCUCAGACUUGUGUUUCAUCAAGUAGACAUACCCAUAUCUACUCAAGUCAUCAGUGAGGGUGAGAACAUAACGAUAGCCUCCGCGAGCCUCGACGCUCAUUGGACCGCACACAUCAGUAUGUAUGAUUUCCAAUAAGUUGGUUGCUCGCUCCAUUGUUUCGGAGAAUGGAGUCCUGGUCAUUUUGCCCAUGAGGCAUGGUUCACAUGUGUCAAAUGAUUCAUAAUCGAGAGACUCUAAAAGUCCAUCAGCAUGGAGCUUCUUCAUGCGCUUGACACCAAUGUGAGCAAGGCGGCAGUGCCACAAGUAUGUGGGACUAUCGUUAUCAACUUUACAUCUUUUGGUAUUCACACUAUGAAUAUGUGUAACAUUACGCUCAAGAUUCAUUAAGAAUAAACCAUUGACCAGCGGGGCAUGCCCAUAAAACAUAUCUCUCAUAUAAAUAGAACAAUCAUUAUUCUCGGAUUUAAAUGAGUAGCCAUCUCGCAUUAAACGAGAUCCAGAUACAAUGUUCAUGCUCAAAGCUGGCACUAAAUAACAAUUAUUGAGGUUUAAAACUAAUCCCGUAGGUAAAUAUAGAGGUAGCGUGCCGACGGUGAUCACAUCGACCUUGGAACCAUUUCUGACGCGCAUCGUCACCUCGUCCUUCGCCAGUCUCCGCUUAUUCCGCAACUCCUGCUUUGAGUUACAAAUAUGAGCAACCGCACCGGUAUCAAAUACCCAGGAGCUACUACGAGCACUGGUAAGGUACACAUCAAUUACAUGUAUAUCACAUAUACCUUUGGUUUUGCCGGCCUUCUUGUCCGCUAAGUACUUGGGGCAGUUCCGCUUCCAGUGACCACUUUCCUUGCAAUAAAAGCACUCAGUCUCAGGCUUGGGUCCAUUGUUUGACUUCUUCCCGGCAACAGGCUUACCGGGCGCGGCAACUCCCUUGCCAUCCUUCUUGAAGUUCUUCUUACCCUUGCCCUUCUUGAACUUAGUGGUUUUAUUCACCAUCAACACUCGAUGUUCCUUUUUGAUCUCUACCUCUGUUGAUUUCAGCAUUGAAUAUACCCCAGGAAUGGUCUUUUCCAUCCCCUGCAUAUUGAAGUUCAUCACAAAGCUCUUGUAGCUCGGUGGAAGCGACUGAAGGAUUCUGUUAAUAACCGCGUCAUCCGGGAGAUUAACUCCCAGCUGAGUCAAGCAGUUGUGCAACCCAGACAUCUUGAGUAUGUGCUCAUUGACAGAACUAUUUUCCUCCAUCUUACAACUGAAGAACUUGUCGGAGACUUCAUAUCUCUCGACCCGGGCAUGAGCUUGGAAAACCAUUUUCAGCUCUUCGAACAUCUCAUAUGCUCCGUGUUGCUCAAAAUGCUUUUGGAGCCCCGGUUCUAAGCUAUAAAGCAUGCCGCACUGAACGAGGGAGUAAUCAUCAGCACGAGACUGCCAAGCGUUCAUAACGUCUUGGUUCUCUAGGAUGGGUGCUUCACCUAGCGGUGCUUCUAGGAUAUAAUCUUUCUUGGCAGCUAUGAGGAUGAUCCUCAGGUUCCGGACCCAGUCCGUAUAGUUGCUGCCAUCAUCUUUUAGCUUGGUUUUCUCUAGGAACGCAUUGAAGUUGAGGUGGACAUGAGCAUUGGCCAUUUGAUCUACAAGACAUUUUGCAAAGGUUUUUAGACUAAGUUCAUGAUAAUUAAGUUCAUCUAAUCAAAUUAUUCAAUGAACUCCCACUCAGAUUAGACAUCCCUCUAGUCAUCUAAGUGAUACAUGAUCCGACUCGACUAGCCUGUGUCUGAUCAUCACGUGAGACGGACUAGUCAUCAUCGGUGAACAUCUCCAUGUUGAUCGUAUCUUCUAUACGACUCAUGUUUGACCUUCCGGUCUUCCGUGUUCCGAGGCCACGUCUGUACAUGCUAGGCUCGUCAAGUCAACCUAAGUGUAUUGCGUGUGUAAAUCUGGCUUACACCCGUUGUAUUCAAACGUUAGGAGCUAUCACACCCGAUCAUCAUGUGGUGCUUCGAAACAACGAACCUUCGCAAUGGUGCACAGUUAGGGGGAACACUUUCUUGAAAUUAUUACGAGGGAUCAUCUUAUUUAAGCUACCGUUGUUCUAAGCAAAUAAGAUGUAAAACAUGAUAAACAUCACAUGCAAUCAAAUAGUGACAUGAUAUGGUCAAUAUCAUAUUGCUCCUUUGAUAUCCAUCUUCGGGGCGCCAUGAUCAUCCUCGUCACCGGCAUGACACCAUGAUCUCCAUCACCAUGAUCUCCAUCAUCGUGUCUUCAUGAAGUUGUCACGCCAACAACUACUUCUACUUUUAUGGGUAACGCGUUUAGCAAUAAAGUAAAGUAAUUUACAUGGCAUUAUUCAAUGACACGCAGGUCAUACAAAAAAUAAAGACAACUCCCAUGGCUCCUGUCGGUUGUCAUACUCAUCGACAUGCAAGUCGUGAUUCCUAUUAGAAGAACAUGAUCAAUCUCAUACAUCACAUAUAUCAUUCAUCACAUCCUUUUGGCCAUAUCACAUCACAAGGCAUAUGCUGCAAAAACAAGUUAGACGUCCUCUAAUUGUUGUUGCAAGUUUUUACGUGGCUUCUAUAGGUUUCUAGCAAGAAUGUUUCUUACCUAUGUAAAACCACAACGUGAUAUGCCAAUUUCUAUUUACCCUUCAUAAGGACCCUUUUCAUCGAAUCCUCUCCAACUAAAGUGGGAGAGACAGACACCCGCUAGCCACCUUAUGCAACUAGUGCAUAUCAGUCGGUGGAACCUGUCUCACGUAAGCGUACGUGUAAGGUCGGUCCGGGCCGCUUCAUCCCACGAUGCCGCCGAAGCAAGAUAAGACUAGUAGUGGCAAGAAAAUUGACAACAUCUACGCCCACAACAAGUUUGUGUUCUACUCGUGCAUAGUAACUACGCAUAGACCUAGCUCAUGAUGCCACUGUGAUGGGGAACGUUGCAGAAAAUAAAAAAUCUCUACGCUUCACCAAGAUCAAUCUAUUGAGUCGCCUAGCAACGAGAGAGAGGAGUGCAUCUACAUACCCUUGUAGAUCGCGUGCGGAAGAGUUCAAGAGAACGGGGUUGAGGGAGUCGUACUCGUCGUGAUCCAAAUCACCGGAGAUCCUAGCGCCAAACGGACGGCACCUCCGCGUUCAACACACGUACGGUUGGGAAGACGUCUCCUCCUUCUUGAUCCAGCAAGGGGGAAGGAGAGGUUGAUGAAGAUCCAGCAGCAGGACGGCGUGGUGGUGGAUGCAGCAGCGAUCACGGCAGGGCUUCGCCAAGCUUCUGCGAGAGGGAGAGGUGGUGCGUGGGGAGAGGGAGGCGCCAGAGACUUGGGUGCAGCUGCCCUCCCUCCCCCCUCUUUAUAUAGGCCCCCUGGGGGGCGCCGACCCUAGGAGAUGGGAUCUCCAAGGGGGGGCGGCGGCCAAGGGGGUGGCUUGCCCCCCAAGGCAAGUGGAGGCGCCCCCCACCCCUAAGGUUUCCAACCCUAGGCGCAGGGGGCCCCAAGGGGGGGGUGCACCAGCCCACCUGGGGCUGGUUCCCCUCCCACUUCAGCCCAUGGGGCCCUCCGGGAUAGGUGGCCCCACCCGGUGGACCCUCGGGACCCUUCCGGUGAUCCCGGUACAAUACCGGUGUCCCCCGAAACUUUCCCGAUGGCCGAAACUGCACUUCCUAUAUAUAAUUCUUCACAUCCGGACCAUUCCGGAACUCUUCGUGACGUCCGGGAUCUCAUCCGAGACUCCGAACAACUUUCGGGUUACUGCAUAUAUAUCUCUACAACCCUAGCGUCACCGAACCUUAAGUGUGUAGACCCUAUGGGUUCGGGAGACAUGCAAACAUGACCGAGACGCCUCUUCGGUCAAUAACAAACAACGGGAUCUGGAUACCCAUGUUGGCUCCCACAUGCUCCUCGAUGAUCUCAUCGGAUGAACCACGAUGUCGAGGAUUCAAUCAAUCCCGUAUUCAAUUCCCUUUGUCAAUCUGUACGUUACUUGCCCGAGAUUCGAUCGUUGGUAUCCCAAUACCUCGUUUAAUCUCGUUACCGGCAAGUCACUUUACUCAUAUCAUAAUGCAUGAUCCCGUGACCAGACACUUGGUCACAUUGAGCUCAUUAUGAUGAUGCAUUACCGAGUGGGCCCAGAGAUAUCUCUCCGUCAUACGGAGUGACAAAUCCCAGUCUUGAUUCGUGCCAACCCAACAGACACUUUCGGAGAUACCCGUAGUGCACCUUUAUAGUCACCCAGUUAUGUUGUGGCGUUUGGUACACCUAAAGCACUCAUACGGUAUCCGGGAGUUGCACAAUCUCAUGGUCUAAGGAAAUGAUACUUGACAUUUGGAAAAGCUCUAGCGAAACGAACUACACGAUCUUUGUGCUAUGCUUAGGAUUGGGUCUUGUCCAUCACAUCAUUCUCCUAAUGAUGUGAUCCCGUUAUCAAUGACAUCCAAUGUCCAUAGUCAGGAAACCAUGACUAUCUGUUGAUCAACGAGCUAGUCAACUAGAGGCUCACUAGGGACUUGUUAUGGUCUAUGUAUUCACACAUGUAUUAUGAUUUCGGGAUAACACAAUUAUAGCAUGAAUAAUAGACAAUUAUCAUAAACAAGGAAAUAUAAUAAUAACCAUUUUAUUAUUGCCUCUAGGGCAUAUUUCCAACACAAAGAGCGCUACAUCAAGAGCAACAAGCAAUGAACGACCGCAUCGACAACCUCGCCACCGACUUGCGACUCUCCGAGCAACGUACAUGGGACUACUUCGACAACAAGCUCGACGCGCACAAGCAAUAUAAUGAUGCAAGAAUGGACGAGAUCCGAGCUUUGUUGGUGAACCGUCCUCCUUCAACUUCUUCAUACUCAAGACAGAGCCACUCAAGUCGACACUCUGACGACACCUUCUCUGUCUCAAGUACACCGUCAUCGAACACUCUUCGACGAGCCGCGCGUCAAGACCGUCAUGCAUCUCGCAACCCGCUACACGACAAGCAUUCACAAGAGCAAGUCGAUGAGCAAGUACCUCGUCCUCACUCAAACCAAGUCACGUUUGCUCAAGCUCAAGAACGACAACGACUACGACGCCAAGAGGAAGAACGAGCGCGUCUACACCAAGAGGAACAAGACGCCGAGGCUCAACGUCUUCAACAACAACAACGGGAAGCGCAAGAUCUUGAGGCGCAACAUGCCCUUCAAGAAUCAAGUCGAGCCAUCGCAAACCGCAAUCGCGAAUGGCGCAAUCAAGAGGAAGCCCUUCGAGAAGAAAUCCAAGAGAGGAACUACCAACCACAUGUGCACCGUCAAGUCCCUCAAGCUCCUCCACAAGCUUGUCAAGCUCCACCUCAACCUCAAGUUCAACAAGAGCAAGUUGAUCAUGGACUUCCUCCACACCAAGAGCAAUAUGAGGAUGAUUACCCUCCACGUCAAGGGCGUCAUCAUCACCAUCGCCAACAAUACAAUGAAGAGCAAUGCUAUGGCAAGCUUAAAUUCACCAUGCCCAAGUUCAAUGGAAGCAAUGAUCCCGAAGAAUACCUCUCAUGGGCAUUGAAGGUCGACAAAAUCUUUCGUUUGCACAACUAUGAGGAAGAGAAGAAGAUCGCUAUGGCAUCACUUGAGUUCCAAGACUAUGUGCUCAUAUGGUGGGAACAACUCCUUGAGCGCCGAGAAGCAAGAGAUGAACCUCCAAUCACCACUUGGGCUCAAAUGAAGGAUGUCAUGCGAGCACGUUUUGUGCCCACCUACUACAACUGCGAUCUCUUCAAGAAGCUACAACUCCUCAAGCAAGGAACAAAGAGUGUUGAAGAAUACUACAAGGAAAUGGAGAUAGCCAUGAUUCGAGCCAAUGUCAAGGAAGAUGAUGAGCAAACAAUGGCACGUUUCUUGAAUGGACUCAAUCAUCCCAUCAAGAAGAUCGCCGACUUCCAACCCUACUCCAACCUCAUUGAGCUCGUGCAGCAAGCGACCAAGGCGGAACAUCAAGUGCAAGAUGACUUCAAGUACGCCAAGUACUCUUCCAAGACAUACGGUUUCUCCAACAACCAAGCUUCAACAACUCCUUCAACAUCUACAUCAACCAAGCCUUCUCCAAACAACGACGACAAGCCAAGUUACAAGAAAACUUCGUCAAGUUCAAGUCAUCCUCCUCCUACUACAAGCAACUUCAAGACGCGUGCUUCUUCAUCUACUCCGACCGAUGAGACCGUCAAGACGAGUUCCUUCAAGUGUUUCACUUGCGGCGACCGAGGCCACAAGUCCUAUGAAUGCACAAACAAGCGCACCAUAAUCCUCAACGACGAUGACACCUACGACUCAAUGAGUGAAGAUGAAAUGUAAGCCCUCGAGCACGUGGCCAUGCACCAACGCAUGAACGAGGAUGAAGAUGAUCGAGUCUUUUGUGAUGAGGAUUCGAGCCCCGCUCUUGUUGUCUCCAAGGUCUUGACUCUUCAACAUCAACAAUAAGAAGACCAACGAUGCCAUAUCUUCCACACUAAGGCCGGCAUCAAUGGAAGGUCCGUCAAGGUCAUCAUUGAUGGAGGUAGUUGCCACAACUUGGCAAGUGAAGAACUAUGCUCCAAGCUUCAAUUGGUCAAGAGGAAGCACCCGCACCCCUACAAGGUUCAAUGGCUAAGUGACUCCGGCACUAUACGAGUUGAGCAUACGGUCCAAGUCUCCUUCAAAAUUGGUGUAUAUGAGGACACUUUGGAGUUUGAUGUGGUCCCAGUGACCGUUUGCCACCUCCUUCUUGGUCAACCAUGGCAAUUCGCCCGUGGUGUCAUCCACAAUGGGCGUACCAAUCACUAUAGCUUCAAGAUGAAAGGGAAGGAAUAUGUUCUACGACCUAUGUCUCCUAGUCAAGUGAUAGCCGACAAGCAAGCCACCCAUCAUGGAGAGAAGAGUGCGAAAGUGAUCCAACCAAAAGUGAGUGAGAGCCACAAGCCAAACUUGAGCGCCUCUUCACCUAGAGAGAAAAACCUCAUACUAUUUGCCACAACAAGUGAGAUGAGAGAAGUGUGUGAGAACCCAUCGAGUGUGAUGCACUUUGUCCUUGUGUGCAAGGAUGGGGAACCAAAAACUAACACCUCUCACGAGCUACCUUUAGUGUUUCAAUCUCUUUUGCAAGAAUUUCAAGAUGUUUUCCCCUAUGAGCUACCUCCGGGUCUACCUACUCUUCGAGGCAUUGAGCAUCGAAUCGACCUCAUCCCCGGAGCGCCACUUCCAAACAAAGCUCCAUACCGUGUCAACCCCAAAGAAACUAAGGAGAUCCAACGGCAAGUACAACAACUCAUUGACAAGGUCAUGUACAUGAAAGCUUAAGUCCUUGUGACGUUCCCAUUAUACUUGUGCCUAAGCAAGAUGGAAGUUUCCGCAUGUGCUCCGAUUGUAGACCUAUAAAUGCUAUUACCGUUUGCUAUAGGCAUCCCAUUCCUCGCUUAGAUGAUAUGCUUGAUGAACUUAGCGGAGCCGCCUUUUUCUCAAAAAUUGAUCUUAAAAGUGGCUAUUAUCAAAUCCGCAUACAAGAGGGUGAUGAAUGGAAAACUGCUUUCAAAACCAAAUUUGGCUUAUAUGAGUGGUUAGUUAUGCCUAUGGGUUUAUCGGAGGCUCCCGGUACUUUCACGCGUCUUAUGCAUUUUGUGCUUCGACCUUACAUUGGAGUCUUUGUUGUGGUUUACUUUGAUGACAUUCUUGUCUUUAGCAAAUCCUUGAAAGAGCAUAUUAAUCAUGUUAGGGAUGUUUUGCAAACCCUUCGCAAGGAACGUCUUUAUGCCAACAUGAAAAAGUGCACGUUUGGUGUUGACAAGCUAGUUUUCUUGGGUUUUGUUGUCUCUUCCAAGGGUGUCCACGUUGAUGAAUCUAAAAUUGAAGCAAUUAAAACUUGACCCCAACCCACCAAUUUGCAACAAGUGCGUAGUUUUCUUGGUCUUGCGGGUUUUAUCGUUGCUUUGUGAAAGACUUUAGCACUAUUGCCACUCCUUUGCAUGCUUUGAGUAAGAAGAAUGCUCCUUUUGUUUGGGGAUCUUUGCAAUCCACCGCUUUUGAUGUUGGGGAACGUUGCAGAAAAUUAAAAUUUUCCUACGGUCUCACCAAGAUCCAUCUAUGAGUUCAUCUAAGCAACGAGUCAUGGGAGAGAGAUUUCAUCUACAUACCACUUGUAGAUCGCGUGCGGAAGCGUUCAAGAGAACGGUGAUGAUGGAGUCGUACUCGUCGUGAUCCAAAUCACCGAUGACGAAGUGCCGAACGGACAGCACCUCCGCGUUCAACACACAUACAGAGCGGAUGACGUCUCCUCCUUCUUGAUCUAGCAAGGGGGAAGGAGAGGUUGAUGAUGAUCCAGCAGCACAACGGCGUGGUGGUGGAUGCAGCAGAACUCCGGCAGGGCUUCGCCAAGCUGCUGCGGGAGGAGGACGAGGUGUAGCAGGGGGAGGGAGGCGCCAAGACACAGGGUGCGGCUGCCCUCCCCCCUGCCCUCCUAUAUAUAGGCCCCCAGGGGGGGCGCCGGCCCUGGGAGAUCCCAUCUCCCAAGGGGGGCGGCGUCCAAGGGGGGUGGAGUGCCCCCCAAGGCAAGUGGGGCGCCCCCUCCACCUAGGGUUUCCAGCCCUAGGUGCAGGGGGGCCCAGGGGGGCGCACCAGCCCACUAGGGGCUGGUUCCCCUCCCACUUCAGACCACGGGGCCCUCCGGGAUAGGUGGCCCCACCCGGUGGACCCCCGGGACCCUUCCGGUGGUCCCGGUACAAUACCGGGUGACCCCGAAACUUUCCCGGUGGCCGAAACAGCACUUCCUAUAUAUAAUUCUUUACCUCCGGACCAUUCCGAAACUCCUCGUGACGUCCGGGAUCUCAUCCGGGACUCCAAACAACAUUCGGUUUGCUGCAUACUCAUAUUCAUACAACCCUAGCGUCACCAAACCUUAAGUGUGUAGACCCUACGGGUUCGGGAGACAUGCAGACAUGACCGAGAUAGCUCUCCGGUCAAUAACCAACAAUGGGAUCUGGAUACCCAUGUUGGCUCCCACAUACUCCUCGAUGAUCUCAUCGAAUGAACCACGAUGUCGAGGAUUCAAGCAACCCCGUAUACUAUUCCCUUUGUCAGACGGUAUGUUACUUGCCCGAGAUUCGAUCGUCGGUAUCCCAAUACCUCGUUCAAUCUCGUUACCGGCAAGUCACUUUACUCGUACCGUAAUGCAUGAUCCUGUGACCAGACACUUGGUCACUUUGAGCUCAUUAUGAUGAUGCACUACCGAGUGGGCCCAGUGAUACCUCUCCGUUAUAUGGAGUGACAAAUCCCAGUCUCGAUCCGUGUCAACCCAACAGACACUUUCGGGGAUACUUGUAGUGCACCUUUAUAGUCACCCAGUUACGUUGUGACGUUUGGUACACCCAAAGCACUCCUACGGUAUCCGAGAGUUACACGAUCUCAUGGUCUAAGGAAGAGAUACUUGACAUUGGAAAAGCUCUAGCAAAACAAACUACACGAUCUUGUGCUAUGCUUAGGAUUGGGUCUUGUCCAUCACAUCAUUCUCCUAAUGAUGUGAUUCCGUUGUCAACGACAUCUAAUGUGCAUAGUCAGGAAAUCAUGACUAUCUGUUGACCAACGAGCUAGUCAACUAGAGGCUUACUAGGGACGUAUUGUGGUCUAUGUAUUCACACGUGUAUUACGAUUUCCGGAUAAUACAAUUAUAGCAUGAAUAAAAGACAAUUAUCAUGAACAAAGAAAUAUAAUAAUAAUCCUUUUAUUAUUGCCUCUAGGGCAUAUUUCCAACAGUCUCCCACUUGCACUAGAGUCAAUAAUCUAGUUACAUUGUGAUGAAUCGAAAACCCAUAGAGUUCUGGUGUUGAUCAUGAUUUGCUCGCGGAAGAGGUUUAGUCAAAGGAUCUGCGACAUUCAGAUCCGUAUGUACUUUGCAAAUAUCUAUGUCUCCAUCUUGAACAUUUUCACGGAUGGAGUUGAAACGGCGCUUGAUGUGCCUGGUCUUCUUGUGAAACCUGGGCUCCUUGGCAAGGGCAAUAGCUCCAGUGUUGUCACAGAGGAGUUUGAUCGGCCCCGACGCAUUGGGUAUGACUCCUAGGUCGGUGAUAAACUCCUUCACCCAAAUCGCUUCAUGCGCUGCCUCCGAGGCUGCCAUGUACUCCGCUUCACAUGUAGAUCCCGCCACGACGCUCUGCUUGCAGCUGCACCAGCUUACUGCCCCACCAUUCAACAUAUACACGUAUCCGGUUUGUAACUUAGAGUCAUCCAGAUCUGUGUUGAAGCUAGCAUCGACGUAACCCUUUACGACGAGCUCUUCGUCAUCUCCAUAAACGAGAAACAUGUCCUUUGUCCUUUUCAGGUACUUCAGGAUAUUCUUGACCGCUGUCCAGUGUUCCUUGCCGGGAUUACUUUGGUACCUUCCUACCAAACUUACGACAAGGUUUACAUCAGGUCUGGUACACAGCAUGGCAUACAUAAUAGAUCCUAUGGCUGAGGCAUAGGGGAUGACGCUCAUCUCUUCUUUAUCUUUUGCCGUGGUCGGGCAUUGAGCUGAGCUCAAUCUCACACCUUGCAGUACAGGCAAGAACCCUUUCUUGGACUGAUCCAUUUUGAACUUCUUCAAAAUCUUAUCAAGGUAUGUGCUUUGUGAAAGACCUAUGAGGCGUCUCGAUCUAUCCCUAUAGAUUUUGAUGCCUAAUAUGUAAGCAGCUUCUCCAAGGUCCUUCAUUGAAAAACACUUAUUCAAGUAGGCCUUAAUGCUGUCCAAGAAUUCUAUAUCAUUUCCCAUCAAAAGUAUGUCAUCUACAUAUAAUAUGAGAAAUGCUACAGAGCUCCCACUCACUUUCUUGUAAACGCAGGCUUCUCCAUAAGUCUGCAUAAACCCAAAUGCUUUGAUCAUCUCAUCAAACGAAUGUUCCAACUCCGAGAUGCUUGCACCAGCCCAUAAAUGGAUCGCUGGAGCUUGCAUACUUUUUUGGCAUUCUUAGGAUCGACAAAACCUUCUGGCUGCAUCAUAUAUAGCUCUUCCUUAAGAUAACCGUUAAGGAAUGCCGUUUUGACGUCCAUCUGCCAUAUCUCAUAAUCAUAGUAUGCGGCAAUUGCUAACAUGAUUCGGACGGACUUAAGCUUCGCUACGAGAGAGAAAUUCUCAUCGUAGUCAAUCCCUUGAACUUGCCGAUAACCCUUAGCGACAAGUCGAGCUUUAUAGAUGCUGACAUUACCAUCCGCGUCCGUCUUCUUCUUAAAGAUCCAUUUGUUUUCUAUCACUCGCCGAUCAUCGGGCAAGUCAGUCAAAGUCCAUACUUUGUUUUCAUACAUGGAUUCUAUCUCGGAUUGCAUGGCUUCUAGCCAUUUGUUGGAAUCUGGGCCCGCCAUCGCUUCUUCAUAGUUUGAAGGUUCACCGUUGUCUAACAACAUGAUUUCCAGGACAGGGUUGCCAUACCACUCUGGUGUGGAACGUGUCCUUGUGGACCUAUGAAGUUCAGUAGCAACUUGAUCCGAAGUUCCUUGAUCAUCAUCAUUAAUUUCCUCUCCAGUCGGUGUAGGCACCACAGGAACAUUUUCCUGAGCUGCACUACUUUCCGGUUCAAGAGGUAGUACUUCAUCGAGUUCUACUUUCCUCCCACUUACUCCUUUCGAGAGAAACUCUUUUUCCAGAAAGGAUCCGUUCUUGGUAACAAAGGUCUUGCCCUCGGAUCUUAAGUAGAAGGUAUACCCAAUGGUUUCCUUAGGGUAUCCUAUGAAGACGCAUUUUCCCGACUUGGGUUCGAGCUUUUCAGGUUGAAGUUUCUUGACAUAAGCAUCGCAUCCCCAAACUUUUAGAAACAACAGCUUAGGUUUCUUCCCAAACCAUAAUUCAUACAGUGUCGUCUCAACGGAUUUAGACGGUGCCCUAUUUAAAGUGAAUGUAGCUGUCUCUAGUGCGUAUCCCCAAAAUGAUAGCAGUAAAUCGGUAAGAGACAUCAUAGAUCGCACCAUAUCCAAUAGAGUGCGAUUACGACGUUCGGACACACCGUUAUGCUGAGGUGUUCCAGGCGGCGUGAGUUGUGAAACGAUUCCACAUUUUCUUAAGUGUGUACCAAAUUCGUGACUUAAAUAUUCUCCUCCACGAUCUGAUCGUAAGAAUUUUAUCUUUCGUUCACGUUGAUUCUCUACCUCAUUCUGAAAUUCUUUGAACUUUUCAAAUGUCUCAGACUUGUGUUUCAUCAAGUAGACAUACCCAUAUCUACUCAAGUCAUCAGUGAGAGUGAGAACAUAACGAUAUCCUCCGCGAGCCUCAACGCUCAUUGGACCACACACAUCAGUAUGUAUGAUUUCCAAUAAGUUGGUUGCUCACUCCAUUGUUCCGGAGAACGGAGUCUUGGUCAUUUUGCCCAUGAGGCAUGGUUCGCAUGUGUCAAAUGAUUCAUAAUCGAGAGACUCUAAAAGUCCACCAGCAUGGAGCUUCUUCAUGCACUUGACACCAUUGUGACCAAGGCGGCAGUGCCACAAGUAUGUGGGACUAUCAUUAUCAACUUUACAUCUUUUGGUAUUCACACUAUGAAUAUGUGUAACAUUACAUUCGAGAUUCAUUAAGUAUAAACCAUUGACCAUCAGGGCAUGACCAUAAAACAUAUCUCUCAUAUAAAUAGAACAACCAUUAUUCUCGGAUUUAAAUGAGUAGUCAUCUCGCAUCAAACGAGAUCCAGAUACAAUGUUCAUGCUCAAACUUGGCACUAAAUAACAAUUAUUGAGGUUCAUAACUAAUCUCGUGGGUAAAUGUAGAGGUAGCGUGCCGACGGCAAUCACAUCGACCUUGGAACCAUUCCUGAUGCGCAUCGUCACCUCGUCCUUCGCCAGUCUUCGCUUAUUCCGCAGCUCCUGUUGUGAGUUACAAAUAUGAGCAACGACACCGGUAUCAAAUACCCAGGAGUUACUACAAGUACUGGUAAGGUACACAUCAAUUACAUGUAUAUCACAUAUACCUUUAGUGUUGCCGGCCUUCUUGUCCGCUAAGUAUUUGGGGCAGUUCCGCUUCCAGUGAUCCUUCCCUUUGCAAUAAAAGCACUCAGUCUCAGGCUUGGGUCCAUUCUUUGACUUCUUCCUGGCAACUGGCUUACCGGGCGCGGCAACAUCUUUGUCGUCCUUCUUGAAGUUCUUCUUACCCUUGCCCUUCUUGAACUUAGUGGUCUUAUUGACCAUCAACACUUGAUGUUCUUUCUUGAUUUCAACCUCUGCUGACUUCAGCAUUGAAAAUACUUCAGGAAUGGUCUUCACCAUCCCCUGCAUAUUGUAGUUCAACACGAAGUUCUUGUAGCUCGGUGGGAGCGACUGAAGGAUUCUGUCAAUGACUGCCUCAUCCGGGAGGUUGAUCUCCAGCUGGGACAGGCGGUUGUGCAACCCAGACAUUUUGAGUAUGUGCUCACUGACAUAACUGUUUUCCUCCAUCUUACAACUAUAGAACUUGUCGGAGACUUCAUAUCUCUCGACCCGGGCAUGAGCUUGAAAAACCAUUUUCAGCUCCUCGGACAUCUCAUAUGCUUCGUGUCGCUAAAAAUGCUUUUGGAGCCCCGGUUCUAAGCUGUAAAGCAUGCCCCACUGAACGAGGGAGUAAUCAUCAGCACGUGAUUGCCAAGUGUUCAUAACGUCUUGGUUCUCUGGGAUGGGUGCUUCACCUAGCGGUGCAUCUAGGACAUAAUCUUUGUUGGCUGCUAUGAGGAUGAUCCUCAGGUUCCGGACCCAGUCCGAAUAGUUGCUGCCAUCAUCUUUCAGCUUGGUUUUCUCUAGGAACGCGUUAAAGUUCAUGUUGACAUGAGUGUUUGCCAUUUGAUCUACAAGACAUAUUUUUGCAAAGACUUUAGACUAAGUUCAUGAUAAUUAAGUUCAUCUAAUCAAAUUAUUUAAUGAACUCCCACUCAGAUUGACAUCCCUCUAGUCAUCUAAGUGUUACACGAUCCGAGUCGACUAGGCCGUGUCCGAUCAUCACGUGAGACGGACUAGUCAUCAUCGGUGAACAUCUCCAUGUUGAUCGUAUCUUCCAUACGACUCAUGUUCGACCUUUCGGUCUCUUGUGUUCCGAGGCCAUGUCUGUACAUGCUAGGCUCGUCAAGUUAACCCUAAGUGUUUCUGCAUGUGUAAAACUGUCUUACACCCGUUGUAUGUGAACGUAAGGAUCUAUCACACCCGAUCAUCACGUGGUGCUUCGAAACGACGAACUUUAGCAAUGGCGCACAGUUAGGGGGAACACUUUCUUGAAAUUAUUAUAAGGGAUCAUCUUAUUUACUACCGUCGUUCUAAGUAAACAAGAUGCAUAAACAUAAUAAACAUCACAUGCAAUUAUAUAAAGUAGUGACAUGAUAUGGCCAAUAUCAUAUAGCUCCUUCGAUCUCCAUCUUCGGGGCUCCAUGAUCAUCUUCGUCACCGGCAUGACACCAUGAUCUCCAUCAUCAUGAUCUCCAUCAUCGUGUCUUCAUGAAGUUGUCACGCCAACGACUACUUCUACUUCUAUGGCUAACGCAUUUAGCAAUAAAGUAAAGUAAUUUACAUGGCGUUCUUCAAUGACACGCAGGUCAUACAAAAAUAAAGAAAACUCCUAUGGCUCCUGCCGGUUGUCAUACUCAUCGACAUGCAAGUCGUGAUUCCUAUUACAAGAACAUGAUCUCAUACAUCACAAUAUAUCAUUCAUCAUUCAUCACAACUUCUGGCCAUAUCACAUCACAUGACAAUUGCUGCAAAAACAAGUUAGACGUCCUCUAAUUGUUGUUGCAUCUUUUAUGUGGCUGCAAUUGGGUUCUAGCAAGAACGUCUUCUUACCUACCAAUAACCACAACGUGAUUUUGUCAACUUCUAUUUACCCUUCAUAAGGACCCUUUUCGUCGAAUCCGCUCCAACUAAAGUAGGAGAGACAGACACCCGCUAGCCACCUUAUGCAAUUAGUGCAUGUCCGUCGGUGGAACCUGUCUCACGUAAGCGUACGUGUAAGGUCGGUCCGGGCCGCUUCAUGCCACAAUACCGCUGAAGCAAGAAAAUACUAGUAGCGGCAAGCAAGUUGACAAGAUCUACGCCCACAACAAAAUUGUGUUCUACUCGUGCAAUAGAGAACUACGCAUAGACCUAGCUCAUGAUGCCACUGUUGGGGAACGUUGCAGAAAAUUAAAAUUUUCCUACAGUUUCACCAAGAUCCAUCUAUGAGUUCAUCUAAGCAACGAGUCAUGGGAUAGAGAUUGCAUCUACAUACCACUUGUAGAUCGCGUGCGGAAGCGUUCAAGAGAACGGUGAUGAUGGAGUCGUACUCGCCGUGAUCCAAAUCACCGAUGACCAAGUGCCGAACGGACAGCACCUACGCGUUCAACACACGUACGGAGCGGAUGACGUCUCCUCCUUCUUGAUCCAGCAAGGGGGAAGGAGAGGUUGAUGAUGAUCUAGCAGCACAACGGCGUGGUGGUGGAUGCAGCAGAACUCCGGCAGGGCUUCGCCAAGCUGCUGCGGGAGGAGGACGAGGUGUAGCAGGGGGAGGGAGGCGCCAAGACACAGGGUGCGGCUGUCCUCCCCCCUACCCUCCUAUAUAUAGGCCCCCAGGGGGGCGCCGGCCCUGGGAGAUCCCAUCUCCCAAGGGGGGCGGCGGCCAAGGGGGGUGGAGUGCCCCCCCACCUAGGGUUUCCAACCCUAGGCGCAGGGGGCCCAGGGGGGGGGGCGCACCAGCCCACUAGGGGCUGGUUCCCCUCCCACUUCAGCCCACGGGGCCCUCCGGGAUAGGUGGCCCCACCAGGUGGACCUCCAGGACCCUUCCGGUGGUCUCGUACAAUACCGGGUGACCCCGAAACUUUCCCGAUGCCCGAAACAGCACUUCCUAUAUAUAAUUCUUUACCUCCGGACCAUUCCAAAACUCCUCGUGACGUCCAGGAUCUCAUCCGGGACUCCGAACAACAUUCGGUUUGCUGCAUACUCAUAUUCAUACAACCCUAGCGUCACUGAACCUUAAGUGUGUAGACCCUACGGGUUCGGGAGACAUGCAGACAUGACCGAGACAGCUCUCCGGUCAAUAAUCAACAGCGGGAUCUGGAUACCCAUGUUGGCUCCCACAUACUCCUUGAUGAUCUCAUCGAAUGAACCAUGAUGUCGAGGAUUCAAGCAACCCCGUAUACUAUUCCCUUUGUCAGACGGUAUGUUACUUGCCCGAGAUUCGAUCGUCGGUAUCUCGAUACCUCGUUCAAUCUUGUUACCGGCAAGUCACUUUACUCGUACCGUAAUGCAUGAUCCCGUGACCAGACAUUUGGUCACUUUGAGCUCAUUAUGAUGAUGCACUACCGAGUGGGCCCAGUGAUACCUCUCCGUUAUACGGAGUGACAAAUCCCAGUCUCGAUCCGUGUCAACCCAACAGACACUUUCGGAGAUACCUGUAGUGCACCUUUAUAGUCACCCAGUUACGUUGUGACGUUUGGUACACCCAAAGCACUCCUACGGUAUCCGGGAGUUACACGAUCUCAUGGUCUAAUGAAGAGAUACUUGACAUUGGAAAAGCUCUAGCAAAACGAACUACAUGAUCUUGUGCUAUGCUUAGGAUUGGGUCUUGUCCAUCACAUCAUUCUCCUAAUGAUGUGAUCCCGUUGUCAACGACAUCUAAUGUCCAUAGUCAGGAAACCAUGACUAUCUGUUGACCAACGAGCUAGUCAACUAGAGGCUUACUAGGGACGUAUUGUGGUCUAUGUAUUCACACGUGUAUUACGAUUUCCGGAUAAUACAAUUAUAGCAUGAAUAAAAGACAAUUAUCAUGAACAAAAAAAUAUAAUAAUAAUCCUUUUAUUAUUGCCUCUAGGGCAUAUUUCCAACAUUUGAUGAGCUCAAGUCUUUGCUUACUCAUGCACCGAUUCUUGCUUUGCCCAACUUUGAGAAAACUUUUGAGGUUCAUUGUGAUGUUAGUGGUACCGGAAUUGGCCGAGUUUUAAUGCAAGAAAAACGAGCAAUUGCAUAUUUUAGUGAAAAACUCUCCAGUGCUCAACUUAACUAUCCCAUAUAUGACAAAGAAUUGUAUGCUUUAGUGCGUGUGCUACAUGUUUGGGAACAUUAUCUUAGACCUCAUGAGUUUGUCAUACAUACUGAUCAUGAAACACUUAAGUACCUAAAAGGUCAAACUAAGUUGAACAAGCGUCAUGCCAAAUGGAGUGAAUUUAUUGAAUCUUUCCCCUAUGUGAUCAAGUACAUUAAGGGUAAGGAAAAUGUAGUUGCGGAUGCACUUUCACGCAUAUGCACGCUUGUCACUAAACUUGAGUUGAAUGUUAUUAACUUUGAGCACAUAAAAGACUUGUAUGCUAAUGAUUCAUCUUUUGCUAAUACUUAUGCUAAAUGUUUGACGCAUACAUCUCGGGAACAAUAUUACAUCAAGGUUAUCUUAUGAGAGCUAACAAACUAUGCAUUCCCGAGUCUUCUCUUCGUUUUCUCCUUUUACAAUAGGCUCAUGGAGACGGACUCAUGGGACACUUUGGACGCGACAAAAGAUUCGCCACGCUCUCCAAGAACUACUUUUGGCCCAAGAUGUUCCGCGACGUCUCACGCUUCACCACCCGAUGCUCGACAUGUCGCAAAGCUAAGUCUAAAGCUCAAUCCGAUGGUCUUUACAUGCCUCUUCCUAUUCCUUAUCAACCUUGGGAAGACAUUAGCAUGGAUUUUGUACUUGGUUUGCCUAGAACUCGAAAUGGAAAGGAUUUCGUGUUUGUUGUUGUGGACCGAUUUUCUAAGAUGGCACAUUUCAUUCCUUGCAACAAGAUAGACGAUGCUUCACACGUUGCAAAUCUCUUUUGUAGGGAAAUCUUGCGCCUCCAUGGAGUACCAAAGACAAUCGUGUCCGACCGUGAUGUCAAGUUCUUGAGUUACUUUUGGAAGACGCUAUGUGCCAAGCUCGGAAUCAAGCUCUUGUUCUCAUCCGCAUACCAUCCUCAAACCGACGGCCAAACGGAGGUGACGAACCAUACACUCUCCGCUCUACUUCGCGUGUUGAUCAAGAAGAACAUCAAGGAGUGGGAGGAGUGUCUACCCAUCGCCGAGUACGCUUACAACCAUGCAAGACAUUCAACUACCGACAAGCCCCCCUUCGAGGUCGUCUACGGCUUCAACCCGUUGUCCCCAUUGGACAUUCUACCUCUUCCUCUACAAGAGCGCACCAACAUGGAUGCGAGUGCGGGAGCAAGCUACAUCAAUAAUAUGCAUGAGGAUACAAGGAACACCAUCGAGCGCCAAGUACAACGACUAGCGACCAAGCUCAACGUCAACAAGCAACCCAUGAUCUUCAACAUAGGCGAUCUCGUGUGGCUACACCUUCACAAGGACCGCUUCCCCAACGAAUGCAAGUCCAAACUUCUCCCUCGAGCCGACGGACCCUUCAAGGUGCUAGCACGCUACAACGACAACGCUUACAAGAUUGAACUUCCACGAGACAAGUACAACGUGAGCGACAUCUUAAACGUCAAAGACCUCUCGCCGUACCAUGGUGAUGAAGAUUUUGAUCCGAGGUCGGAUCUUUCUCAAGGGAGGGGAGAUGAUGCGGAGCAUCCUUCCAUCAUCCCCAUGGACUCUACACCCACACAUCUAACCCCACGAGGACCCAUGACAAGAGCUAGAGCACGUGCUUUGGAAACCGAGGUGAACUCCUUCCUACUAGACUUGCAUAUGGACACGAAUGGAACAUGGUUACUACCUCAGCAAAAUAUGCUAUGCCUCCUUAGGUAUGAAGAGCAACAUCACCAAGAAGCUCAGGAGCAUCACCAAGGAGAAGGAGGACCACCCCAAGGCCUUGCAAGCCAAGACGGAGUGCAACAGCAGCAAUGCAGAAGGUCCCAGGUGACCCCGUGCGCACGGGCCCCCGAGACCCCGUGCCCACGGGCUACACAGGAAGCUGGCAUUGGCGCACCCCGUGCGCACGGGCCCGUACCGUGCCCACGGGACCCCGUGCGCAUGGGCCCAACUUACCCCGUGCGCACGGGCCUCCUAGGAUGGCCGGCUGAGAUUGCAUCUUCGGCCCCUCUUCAUCCCCUUCGACCCCAGGGCUAUAUAUUCCGUACCUAGGACCAUAUUUAGGGUUAGCAAAGUAUUAGAUGAGAUAUUUGUGAGCUUUGCUCCUUCACCUUCCCUCUUGGUGGAUCAAGACCCCCUAGGGAAGUAUCCUUGUGGAUUUCAAGACCUCCAUAAGGAGAAGACUAUCUUCAAGCCCCCAUCUCCUUUGGAUUUGGGAUGAACUUUGCCAUUGUAUCUUUCCUUUGAUUGUGUUUGUGACUUGUGGAUCUUGUGUUGUUAUUCUAGUGGAUGUGUAAUCGGGAAUUGUUGGAGUGAUUUCCUCUUUGUGUUCUUGUUGUUGCUCUCCUUUUCCCCCUCCAAGUGUAAAAAGAUCCCUCUUAGGGUUCUACCCUACAUCAGGUUGUUUUUUUGAGAAAGUAUUAAAUAUUUAAUAUACAAUAUAAAGAAAGCAAGGGGUAGAACAAAAACAAUAAAAGAAGAGACGAUGCAUGAAGAAGGCAAAACAGGGAAUUAUUUGAAUAAACAAUUAUAAAUAAUAAGGAAGCAAGUAAUAGGAAAAACUAGACCCAUGAAACACUAAAAAAACUCAUGUAUACAACACCUUAGUAGACCAAAGAGAAAAGAGUCAUUCAUAUUUCAGCUCUUAACUUGAACCCACUACUCAGAUAUACCCCUAAUUUUUAAGACCGCUCAAAUUUGCUCCUCUUUCAUCUAGUCCCCUUAUAGAAUAUUUUUCCAUGCCAUUUUGGUCUAGUCAAAGAGCUUUGACCAUUUUCGGGACGUUUUCCCGUCUCUGCAUAUGGCAAUUACACGCACGCUAGACCCACUCUAGAAAAAAUUAAGGAAAAAAACUUUCACUCUUACUUAUGGGUGGAACCAAACCAAAAGAUAAUAAAUAAAAGAGUCAAUUACACCAGAGGUGCUAAAACUUGGCGUGAAAAAUCACUUUAGUGCCAAAACUUGCGGCAUACAUUGAGUUGGUGCUACAACUUGUUUUUGGCAUGCAUAUACGGUGCAAAUUGCAUUUGUAGAUGGAUACGGAGCUGACUAGGCACGCCACAUGUCAUAUAUAGGGCGUGUGUCCUGUUAUUUUAUGGAAAACUCUUCGGAAUUAUAUUUUUCAAAAAUAAAUUGUGGCCAACAGGAUUUGAACCCCUGAUCUGCAAGGUGGAGGCGCUCAUGCCUAACAAAUGCACCCAGAACAGUUUUCUGUUAUAUUUGCAAAUGUACUUUAUAUAUCGAGGCACACUUAAGCUAGCUGGAGACCCUAAACCAUUUUGCAGUGUUAUAUUUUUAACAACAACUAAACUAUAUGUAAAUUAUAAUCUUGUUUACUAAUAUGUAAAUCAUAAUCGUGUGUCAUGCCUUAAGAUUUUUCUAAAAAAAAUCUAUAUAUUUUAAUAAAUGCUUACAUAAGUUUAAAAUGUUCACAGUUUUUUUAGAAACAAAUCUUCAGAGUUUUACCAAAAUAUUAAUGUAGUAUAUAAAACUGUUCAUGCUUUAAUAAUUUUUCUAUAUAUUUUAAUAAAUGCUUAUAUAAGUUUAUAAAUCUUCACAGUUUUAAUGAAACACCCAUGUAGUCUAUAAAAGUGUGCAUGUUUUAAGAAACAUAUAUUCAUAUAAUGUAAAAAUCGUUGGCUAGGAUUCAAACCAGUGACAUGUAGUCAUCAGGUGCGCGUAGCCACCGACCCACCCUUUUUCUUCAGAAAUUUAUGAAAUGUAUGUAAAUUAUAAUCUUAUAUUAUAAAUAAUAUAUAUAUAUAUAUACAUAAUAAUAUUACAUUAUAAAAAUAUUCACGUAUUAUUUUAAAAAUUAUCCAUAUGGUUAAAUUGUAAAUUAUAAAAUUAUGCACGUAAUAAUUUUCAUAUUCAAUAAAAAUAUCAAAGUAUUUUUUGUUUUUCUAUAUAUUUAAAUAAAUGAUAAAAUAUAUUUAAAUUUGCAUACCUUUAAUAAAAUAGUUAUGUAUUAUAAAAGUGUUCAUUUUUAUUCUGCAGUUUAUUUUGUUUAUAAUGCACAAUUAUAAUUUGCAUAUAAUUUAUAAUUUUUGUAACAAAUAACAGUGCAAAAUGGUCAGUAGGGUGUCAAUCCUGCUUAAGGUGUACCGAAUAUAUAAAGUGUGUAUCCGUUUAGUAUGAAAAACGGUUUUUGGUCCAUUAGUUAGGCAGAUGCGCAUCCAUGCUGCAGAUCACGAGUUCAAAAUCCAUCAACCACCAUUUUUGCACAUAUUUGCUCGCUAACAGAUGGGACCGACAUGUGGCAGUGGCCUUUUUGUGAGAAAAAAUAAUUUUGAUGGGAUAUCACAAAAUAACAGGCCACAAGCCAUAUCUAUACCAUUUAAUGGCUAACAGUGGGUCCCAUGCCACACGGCACGUCUAGUCAGCAUUGUGUCUGUAUACAAAUGCGAUUUGCACCGUAUAUGCACGUCAAAGCCAAGUUAUAGCACUAGUUCAAUGUAUGCCGUAAGUUUUGGCACUAAAAUGAUUUUUCACGCCAAGUUUUAGCACCAGUGGUGUAAUUGACUCUAAAUAAAAAGAAAACUCUAUUAUCUCUCUUGUCUCUCUCUCACCUACGGUGAGCAGGGAAUUGGCAGCGGUCGCCAGUAGCUGGCUCGCCGUUGUGACCGCUCUACACUCACCAUCACACCAUCACACAUCGAUUGGCACGAGUUGGCCACACGGGUAGCCAACGGAUAUAGGGACCCGAUUGUUGUAUGUGGCGGACAACGAUAGUUGUUGCGGGGCUCUCAUUGGGGACCUCUAAGAGCAAGUAUAAUAGUCCUAUUCAGCCGGCUACAAGCAUUCCACAUCAGCAAAAUUCUGAGUUGGAAGGGAGUAAAGGCAGGAGAGAGAAGGGAGCGAGCGCUUGACGAAGCGCUCGGCUGUAGCACAGGACGUGAGGAAGUUCUGCCCGCAUGCAGCCUGAAGCCAGCGCUAGUGCCGCUGCACCCGAUUCCCUGUGCCUCACCAUCCAAUCAACUGCUUUUCCUUUUCUCCUCUUGCAUGUACACAUUAAUUACUCUAAUCAGCCAGCAGCUCAUAUAGAGCCAGCCUUAUUACACAAGACGUCUUUUACAGAGGCUAUUGCUGACAAGGCACAUGUAUAGAGCCAGCAGCGGGCGGUUCUAUUAGCCAUGCUCUAAGAGGGAGCUCGAGGAGGGGCUCUUGGCCCCAUGAGUUGGAGAGGGGCACAGGCGCACAGCGGAAGCGACGCCAUCGACCUCGGAUGGCAAGCGGCGCUCAUCGCCGAAGACGCGGAAGGAGAAGGAGAAGCACCAAAUUGGCAGAGGGGAAUGUGCAGGAGCUCGAUUGGAUGCUCGUGGUGCGAGGGAUUGGAGACCGAGCACCAGGCGCUCGUUAUAGACGACUGUGCGGUGGCGGACACCUAAUUUGUGUUCCUCCUGUGACAUGAUGUCGACCUACCCUUGCCUCCUUGUGCACUGUAUCGAGAGUCCAGAUCGCAUCGUUCCCGCCUAAGAAGCCCCCGCCUCAUAGGCCUAUGGCUGUGUCGUGAUUUUGUGCAUGUGUGUGUGUGCGCGCGCCCCAACACACAUUCAUGAUCAUGUGUGUGUUGGCAUGCCUAUCCACCCCCUGCGCGCGCGUGUGUCUGUGCUGCCGUUACUGGCUGCACGUGCCGCCACCGCUUGUUGGUAGCCGCACGUGCUAGAUGUCCCCGACAGAGUCAGGGCAUGGGCUUGCAAGAGAUGAGGGGAAGACGAGAGGUGUGUGAAUGAAAAAUCCCUUUCUACACCCAAGCUCAAAUGAACUCGAGAUGAACAGUAACUCGAAAAACAUUUAAAAAUGUUCAAAAAAAUUUGAACUUUUUUAAUGGAAAACUUUGACAAAUACUCUAAGAGCUUGGAAAACUUCAUCACAAAAUCCCAUUUGUUAAAGUCGUCGCAAAAAAUAAAAUUAGUGCUCCAAAAUACUUUUGGAAGUAGCAUUUUUAUAGUAUCGAUUUUUUUGACACGACUUCCGCAAAUGUUAUAUCAUGAUGAAACUUUGCAAGCUCUUAGAACAUUCUACAAAGUUUGCCAUAAAAAAAUUCAGAUUUUUUUCAACAUUUUUAAAUAUUUUUCAAUUUUACUUUUCAUCCAAGCUCAUUUGAGCUUGGGUGCAAAAACUUCAUGUCCGUGUGAGAGAGUUUUUUAAGGGUUUUUUCUUUGGUUGGGCCCACCUAUAAGUUUUACAAUAGAGGGGGUGAGAGAAAGAGUUUUUUUUUCCUUUUUUCUAGACUGGGUCUUGCAUGUAAUUGUCAUAUGCAAUGAGGGGUAAAUAUAUCCAACAAACGUCUUAAAAAUGGUCAAAACCCUUUGAAUGGACAGAAAAGGCACAAAAGGGUAUUCAUGUAACGGGGCUAGACGUGAGAGGGAUAAAUUUGAAUAGCCUUGAGAAUUCAAGAUGUAUAUGAGUAGUGGGUUCGAGUUAAGGGUUGAAAUGUAAAUGUCCACAGGAAAAAUGUGGCAAACACAUGCGUACUUGUGGCCCACGCCGCAUGCCCUAGACAAAGAUAAUGCGAAAUAAAUAGUUAAGGGGUACCCGUUGUAAGGUCGCUCUCGCCUCCUCUGAUGAAGAUAAGUGACACACCGCAUGUCGCCGCCGCUUGUCACAAUUAGAGAGCUUUUGUGAAGUUUUUCCUGCGGGGGAGGGGAGAUGAUUUAUUAUUAUUAUUUGUAUUUCCAUUUUUUCAAAAUGAUUUAUCUCUCAAACAUUGCGUCCAAAUCACGGAUCAUUUUCUCUGCGUGUUCCUCCCGUCGAGAUCCGCAAAACUAGAUCCCAUGUUUCCAUGUUGAUACAAUUUGAUAUACUUUAUAUCAGGUGAAAUUUAUGCUCUAAAAAUGAACUAACCCAUGCCUCACUUUUGGGAAGCACAGUUGUGCUUUCGUGCGACAAGCACGGUGAAACCACAACCGUGCUUCACUUGGGAAGCACUAUUGUGCUUUCUCCACGAAAGAAUCACAACUAUGUUUUCAGGCAGAAGCACAACUAUGGUCGCUCCUAGCAAACAACCCCCUCUCCCCCCCACCAAAUCCAAAGAAACCGAAUAAAAAAAAUCGAAAAACCUCAAGAAAAAUACUCCGAUGGCGAAGCGCCUAGUGCAGGACAUGUGGCAGUGCUGGGAGACACCACAUGGCAUGCUAGCAAUGGGUUCUUUCUUUGCUAGCGGAGAUCUCCUAAUCCAAGGACUUUGUCAUCACGACCAAGGUGCAUUCAUCGGUUUGAGAUCUCGGACAGAUCGGGUGGCUCAGGUGGCUUAAACACCCUCGGGGAGGAUUCCCUUGAUGGAGUCCUUGUGGCGGCACAGAUGGUUCCUUGUUGUAGCAAUGCUCUUAUCAGCGUGGUGGUUCUUGUUAGCGGCAACUCGUUGGUGUUACAAGUUGUUAUUUUUGUGUCUUGCAAACUCUGGUACGUAAGACUAUAGUUGUAUCUUCUUAUCUGAGUAAAUCAGUUUGUGUUUUUAGGAAAAAAGACCAACACACAAGAAUCUUUGAUCUCCUACAUUUCAUGCGGACAUGACCGAGAUAUAACUAAAUCUUAGCUGACAGAAAUUUUAGGAAAACCGUUUUCAGCUAUGGUUUUAGAUUGCGACAUGUUGGUGGGUGUCAGAAUUCUCUUUGUGUGUAAUAAGCUGAUUCUGAAUUCUAAUGUGAUGCAUAUAGCCGCAAAUGAUAUAUAUCGUUCUUAUUGAGCGUUAUCAUGUCGAUCACCUUCUUUUUGUAUAAGCAUACCGUACUUUAUUGAUUACAAAAGUUCAUAGGAAUACAAUGUAGAUGCGGGGGAUUAAGAAGCCACACAUGGCGUCCUAAAGAAAGACCUAGAGUAUGUUUAGCGAGGCCAUGUGCCUCAAUAUUAGUUUCUCUUUCUUUGAAGAUGAAGGAACAGCGAUAGAAAUGCUAAGAUGUAAAAUUAAUCUCCUUAAUAAUGCUAGAGUGUAGCCCACUCAUAUUUCCAUGAAUAUCUUUGAUCACACCUUGACAGUAUGAAGCUAUCUGUAUGUCUGCAAGUGAUAAGUCAAGAGAAAGUGAUAGCGCUUCUCGACAAACCAAAGUAUCCAAUGAUGUUGGAUCAGUCACACCUUGACAUUUUAUCGCGGAAAGAGCCUAGAUAUUUCUCACUCGAAUCCCUGCAAAUUGCAUUAAAAGUCCCUUCCAUUGCGUCGCGUGACACGACACCAUCAACAUGAUUUUUUAUAGUUCAUGUAGGCGGCGGGAUCCAUAUGUGAUGUUCAGAGGUGUUUGAACAACUGCAUGUUGCUUCAAGGGUUUGCAAAUCUGAAGCUCCUUAGAUAAGUCUUGACAAACUGAUUAGUACCUAAAUGUCCCUGAAAUACAUGCUCAUGCAUAGCCUUUCUCCGAGCAUGCCAAAUCGCCCAUAGUGUUGCAACUUGCAAGUAUCUUGAUGAAAUCCUCAUGCGGUGAUCCUCAUCACAUCGAUCACCUAUAAGUGCGCCGAGUGAGCUGGCCCACUAAGUGGAAGUGCUCACAUUGGUUUCAGGCAGCUUCCAUUACCAGUUUUGAGAAACUUCCAUAUGAUCUUUUUGAAGCUUCCAAAUGUUUUUCUUCAUGUUUGACUAUCUGCCUGGGANNNNNNNNNNNNNNNNNNNNNNNNNNNNNNNNNNNNNNNNNNNNNNNNNNNNNNNNNNNNNNNNNNNNNNNNNNNNNNNNNNNNNNNNNNNNNNNNNNNNNNNNNNNNNNNNNNNNNNNNNNNNNNNNNNNNNNNNNNNNNNNNNNNNNNNNNNNNNNNNNNNNNNNNNNNNNNNNNNNNNNNNNNNNNNNNNNNNNNNNNNNNNNNNNNNNNNNNNNNNNNUUCCUUUUCUUUUUCAAUUCUUGAAUGUAUUUUUUAUAUUCAUGAACUUUUAUAAAAUUCAAGAACAUUUCCUAAGUUUUAAAUUCAUGGUACUUUUGGUGAACACUUUGCAACUUUCCGAACACAUUUCAAAAUUUGUUAACACGUCUCAAAUCCACGAACAUUAUUUGAAUUGGGGAUCAUUUUUACAAAUAUGAGACUAUUUUUUAAAUUCAGGAACAUUUGUUUGAAUCUGGGAAUUUGUUUUCAAUCCACGAACAUGUUUUGAAUUGAUUGCUUUUCGAAUCUGAGUACUGUUUUGGCUUUCACGAACAUUUUUUGAAUUUGUGAACUUUUCCCAAACCAUGAACAUUUUUAAAAUUUAUGAUCAUUUUUUUAAAACCAUGGGUGUUUUUAUGGAAUUCAUAAAAAUUGAAUGCAUCGAGUUAUAAUCAAAUUUGUUAAUAUUUUUUGGAAUUCAUGAAUAUGUCUUUAAGUUGCAAACCUUUUUAAAAUUUUGUGAACAUUAGAUAAAAUGUGAACAAUUCUUUGAUAAUUGUGGAGAUUUUUCUUAAUUUGUGAACAUUUUUUAAAUUUGCAAAUAUUUAUUGAACUACACAUAUUUUCAAAUUCAUGAUUUUUCUAAUAUCUCCGAACACUUUUAGUUUUUGUGCGCAUUUUUUAAUUUAUGAAAACUUUUCAAAUGCAUGAAUUUUAAUAAAUUAAAUAAAACCACUCAAAAUAAAAAAAUGAGGUAAAAAACCAAAAAAAAA
rnacentral:lncRNA from 1 species